AAAGACCCCGUGAACCUUUACUAUAGCUUGACACUGAACAUUGAGCCUUGAUGUGUAGGAUAGGUGGGAGGCUUUGAAGCGUGGACGCCAGUCUGCGUGGAGCCGACCUUGAAAUACCACCCUUUAAUGUUUGAUGUUCUAACGUGGACCCGUUACCCGGGUUGCGGACAGUGUCUGGUGGGUAGUUUGACUGGGGCGGUCUCCUCCUAAAGAGUAACGGAGGAGCACGAAGGUUGGCUAAUCCUGGUCGGACAUCAGGAGGUUAGUGCAAUGGCAUAAGCCAGCUUGACUGCGAGCGUGACGGCGCGAGCAGGUGCGAAAGCAGGUCAUAGUGAUCCGGUGGUUCUGAAUGGAAGGGCCAUCGCUCAACGGAUAAAAGGUACUCCGGGGAUAACAGGCUGAUACCGCCCAAGAGUUCAUAUCGACGGCGGUGUUUGGCACCUCGAUGUCGGCUCAUCACAUCCUGGGGCUGAAGUAGGUCCCAAGGGUAUGGCUGUUCGCCAUUUAAAGUGGUACGCGAGCUGGGUUUAGAACGUCGUGAGACAGUUCGGUCCCUAUCUGCCGUGGGCGCUGGAGAACUGAGGGGGGCUGCUCCUAGUACGAGAGGACCGGAGUGGACGCAUCACUGGUGUUCGGGUUGUCAUGCCAAUGGCACUGCCCGGUAGCUAAAUGCGGAAGAGAUAAGUGCUGAAAGCAUCUAAGCACGAAACUUGCCCCGAGAUGAGUUCUCCCUGAGACUUAGAGUCUCCUGAAGGAACGUUGAAGACGACGACGUUGAUAGGCCGGGUGUGUAAGCGCAGCGAUGCGUUGAGCUAACCGGUACUAAUGAACCGUGAGGCUUAACCUUACAACGCCGAAG
rnacentral:rRNA from 1 species